UACGUAGGGUGCAAGCGUUUAAUCGGAAUUACUGGGCGUAAAGCGUGCGCAGGCGGUUUUGUAAGUCUGUCGUGAAAUCCCCCGGGCUCAACCUGGGAAUUGCGAUGGAGACUGCAAGGCUAGAAUCUGGCAGAGGGGGGGUAGAAUUCCACGUGUGAGCAGUGAAAUGCGUAGAGAUGUGGAGGAACACCGAUGGCGAAAGGCAGCCCCCUGGGUCAAGAUUGACGCUCAUGCACGAAAGCGUGGGGAGCAAACGAGGA
rnacentral:rRNA from 1 species